GGAGGGAUCCAGGAGGGGGAUGCCAUGGAAAUGCAGACUGGGGAUGAUUCGGUUAAACCGCUUUCAGUUCCGACGAAGGUAGACGGUAGGAACAGAAGAAGGACCGGCCAACUACGUGCCAGCAGCCGCGGUGAUACGUAGGGUCCGAGCGUUGUCCGGAAUUAUUGGGCGUAAAGAGUCGUAGGUGGUUUGUCGCGUUGUCCGUGAAAACUCACAGCUUAACUGUGGGCGUGCGGGCGAUACGGGCAGACUGGAGUACUGCAGGGGAGACUGGAAUUCCUGGUGUAGCGGUGGAAUGCGCAGAUAUCAGGAGGAACACCGGUGGCGAAGGCGGGUCUCUGGGCAGUAACUGACGCUGAGGAGCGAAAGCGUGGGGAGCGAACAGGAUUAGAUACCCUGGUAGUCCACGCCGUAAACGGUGGGUACUAGGUGUGGGUUUCCUUCCUUGGGAUCCGUGCCGUAGCUAACGCAUUAAGUACCCCGCCUGGGGAGUACGGCCGCAAGGCUAAAACUCAAAGAAAUUGACGGGGGCCCGCACAAGCGGCGGAGCAUGUGGAUUAAUUCGAUGCAACGCGAAGAACCUUACCUGGGUUUGACAUGCACAGGACGCCGGUAGAGAUAUCGGUUCCCUUGUGGCCUGUGUGCAGGUGGUGCAUGGCUGUCGUCAGCUCGUGUCGUGAGAUGUUGGGUUAAGUCCCGCAACGAGCGCAACCCUUGUCUCAUGUUGCCAGCACGUUAUGGUGGGGACUCGUGAGAGACUGCCGGGGUCAACUCGGAGGAAGGUGGGGAUGACGUCAAGUCAUCAUGCCCCUUAUGUCCAGGGCUUCACACAUGCUACAAUGGCCGGUACAAAGGGCUGCGAUGCCGUGAGGUGGAGCGAAUCCUUUCAAAGCCGGUCUCAGUUCGGAUCGGGGUCUGCAACUCGACCCCGUGAAGUCGGAGUCGCUAGUAAUCGCAGAUCAGCAACGCUGCGGUGAAUACGUUCCCGG
rnacentral:rRNA from 1 species